AGUGAACGCUGGCGGCGUGCUUAACACAUGCGAGUCGAACGAGAACGGAUUAUAGCUUGCUAUAAUUGUCAGCUAAGUGGCGCACGGGUGAGUAAUGUAUAGGUAAUAUGCCUCUUACUAAGGGAUAACAAAUGGAAACGUUUGCUAAUACCUUAUACUCCUUAUUAACAGAAGUUAAUAAGGGAAAGAUUUAUUGGUAAGAGAUUAGCCUGUAUUGUAUCAGUUAGUUGGUGGGGUAAUGGCCUACCAAGACUAUGACACAUAACUGGUUUGAGAGGAUGAUCAGUCGCACUGGAACUGAGACACGGUCCAGACUCCUACGGGAGGCAGCAGUGGGUAAUAUUGCACAAUGGACGAAAGUCUGAUGCAGCAACGCCGCGUGGAGGAUGACACAUUUCGGUGCGUAAACUCCUUUUAUAUGAGAAGAUAAUGACGGUAUUAUAUGAAUAAGCACCGGCUAACUCCGUGCCAGCCGCCGCCGUAA
rnacentral:rRNA from 1 species